GAAGGUGUACUGUGAGGUAUGCUGGAGGUAUCAGAAGUGCGAAUGCUGACAUAAGUAACGAUAAAGCGGGUGAAAAGCCCGCUCGCCGGAAGACCAAGGGUUCCUGUCCAACGUUAAUCGGGGCAGGGUGAGUCGACCCCUAAGGCGAGGCCGAAAGGCGUAGUCGAUGGGAAACAGGUUAAUAUUCCUGUACUUGGUGUUACUGCGAAGGGGGGACGGAGAAGGCUAUGUUGGCCGGGCGACGGUUGUCCCGGUUUAAGCGUGUAGGCUGGUUUUCCAGGCAAAUCCGGAAAAUCAAGGCUGAGGCGUGAUGACGAGGCACUACGGUGCUGAAGCAACAAAUGCCCUGCUUCCAGGAAAAGCCUCUAAGCAUCAGGUAACAUCAAAUCGUACCCCAAACCGACACAGGUGGUCAGGUAGAGAAUACCAAGGCGCUUGAGAGAACUCGGGUGAAGGAACUAGGCAAAAUGGUGCCGUAACUUCGGGAGAAGGCACGCUGAUAUGUAGGUGAAGUCCCUUGCGGAUGGAGCUGAAAUCAGUCGAAGAUACCAGCUGGCUGCAACUGUUUAUUAAAAACACAGCACUGUGCAAACACGAAAGUGGACGUAUACGGUGUGACGCCUGCCCGGUGCCGGAAGGUUAAUUGAUGGGGUUAGCGGUAACGCGAAGCUCUUGAUCGAAGCCCCGGUAAACGGCGGCCGUAACUAUAACGGUCCUAAGGUAGCGAAAUUCCUUGUCGGGUAAGUUCCGACCUGCACGAAUGGCGUAAUGAUGGCCAGGCUGUCUCCACCCGAGACUCAGUGAAAUUGAACUCGCUGUGAAGAUGCAGUGUACCCGCGGCAAGACGGAAAGACCCCGUGAACCUUUACUAUAGCUUGACACUGAACAUUGAGCCUUGAUGUGUAGGAUAGGUGGGAGGCUUUGAAGUGUGGACGCCAGUCUGCAUGGAGCCGGCCUUGAAAUACCACCCUUUAAUGUUUGAUGUUCUAACGUUGGCCCCUGAUCGGGGUUGCGGACAGUGUCUGGUGGGUAGUUUGACUGGGGCGGUCUCCUCCUAAAGAGUAACGGAGGAGCACGAAGGUUGGCUAAUCCUGGUCGGACAUCAGGAGGUUAGUGCAAUGGCAUAAGCCAGCUUGACUGCGAGCGUGACGGCGCGAGCAGGUGCGAAAGCAGGUCAUAGUGAUCCGGUGGUUCUGAAUGGAAGGGCCAUCGCUCAACGGAUAAAAGGUACUCCGGGGAUAACAGGCUGAUACCGCCCAAGAGUUCAUAUCGACGGCGGUGUUUGGCACCUCGAUGUCGGCUCAUCACAUCCUGGGGCUGAAGUAGGUCCCAAGGGUAUGGCUGUUCGCCAUUUAAAGUGGUACGCGAGCUGGGUUUAGAACGUCGUGAGACAGUUCGGUCCCUAUCUGCCGUGGGCGCUGGAGAACUGAGGGGGGCUGCUCCUAGUACGAGAGGACCGGAGUGGACGCAUCACUGGUGUUCGGGUUGUCAUGCCAAUGGCACUGCCCGGUAGCUAAAUGCGGAAGAGAUAAGUGCUGAAAGCAUCUAAGCACGAAACUUGCCCCGAGAUGAGUUCUCCCUGACUC
rnacentral:rRNA from 1 species